AACGAACGCUGGCGGCGCGCCUAACACAUGCAAGUCGAGCGAUGAAGACCCUUCGGGGUGUAUGAAGCGGCGGACGGGUGAGUAAGGCAUAGAUAAUCUGGUCCAGAAUGGGGAAUAACCGGUCGAAAGGCUGGCUAAUACCGCAUACACUAGCUGAGUGAAUAUCAGUUAGCAAAGGCUUCGGCCGUUUUGGAAUGAGUCUAUGUAGGAUUAGGUAGUUGGUGGGGUAAAAGCCUACCAAGCCUACGAUCCUUAACUGGUCUGAGAGGAUGAUCAGUCACACUGGAACUGAGACACGGUCCAGACUCCUACGGGAGGCAGCAGUGAGGAAUUUUGCGCAAUGGGGGAAACCCUGACGCAGCGACGCCGCGUGGAGGAUGAAGUAUCUCGGUAUGUAAACUCCUGUCAGUGGGGAUGAUGAUGACAGUACCCACAGAGGAAGCACCGGCUAACUCCGUG
rnacentral:rRNA from 1 species